rnacentral:rRNA from 1 species
GACGAACGCUGGCGGCGUGCUUAACACAUGCAAGUCGAACGGAAAGGCCCUUCGGGGUACUCGAGUGGCGAACGGGUGAGUAACACGUGGGUGAUCUGCCCUGCACUUUGGGAUAAGCCUGGGAAACUGGGUCUAAUACCGGAUAGGACCACGGCAUUCAUGUGCUGUGGUGGAAAGCUUUUGCGGUGUGGGAUGGGCCCGCGGCCUAUCAGCUUGUUGGUGGGGUAAUGGCCUACCAAGGCGACGACGGGUAGCCGGCCUGAGAGGGUGACCGGCCACACUGGGACUGAGAUACGGCCCAGACUCCUACGGGAGGCAGCAGUGGGGAAUAUUGCACAAUGGGCGCAAGCCUGAUGCAGCGACGCCGCGUGAGGGAUGACGGCCUUCGGGUUGUAAACCUCUUUCGCCAGGGACGAAGCGAAAGUGACGGUACCUGGAGAAGAAGGACCGGCCAACUACGUG